rnacentral:rRNA from 1 species
CCUACGGGUGGCAGCAGUGAGGCAUAUUGGUCAAUGGACGAGAGUCUGAACCAGCCAAGUAGCGUGAAGGAUGACUGCCCUAUGGGUUGUAAACUUCUUUUAUAUGGGAAUAAAACGUUCCACGUGUGGGAUUUUGUAUGUACCAUAUGAAUAAGGAUCGGCUAACUCCGUGCCAGCAGCCGCGGUAAUACGGAGGAUCCGAGCGUUAUCCGGAUUUAUUGGGUUUAAAGGGAGCGUAGGUGGAUUGUUAAGUCAGUUGUGAAAGUUUGCGGCUCAACCGUAAAAUUGCAGUUGAAACUGGCAGUCUUGAGUACAGUAGAGGUGGGCGGAAUUCGUGGUGUAGCGGUGAAAUGCUUAGAUAUCACGAAGAACUCCGAUUGCGAAGGCAGUUCACUGGACUGCAACUGACACUGAGGCUCGAAAGUGUGGGUAUCAAACAGGAUUAGAUACCCCAGUAGUC